CUGCAGCCAAUGAAGCCAACUGUCCUCCUCCUCGUGGGGGCCGGUGUGCCAUGGCUGCAAACAGCAAGCCUCCUCAGUAGUGUAUGCAGCCUAUUGGUAUGUAUAGGCUGCCCUAAGGGACCUUGAAGACAACC
rnacentral:snoRNA from 1 species